rnacentral:miRNA from 1 species
GCCGUUCUUUGCAAGUUUUGUU